rnacentral:rRNA from 1 species
GACGAACGCUGGCGGCGUGCUUAACACAUGCAAGUCGAACGAAGUGGCGAACGGGUGAGUAACGCGUAAUCAACCUGCCCUUCAGAGGGGGACAACAGUUGGAAACGACUGCUAAUACCGCAUACUGAAGGAGGGGAUGGCGGUUGAUAAGCUAGUUGGAGGGGUAACGGGCCACCCAGGCGAUGAUCAGUAGCAGGUGUUGGCGGGUGGACGGCCCAAUUGGGACUGGGAACCGGCCCAGACUCCUACGGGAGGCAGCAGGGGGGAAUCUUCCGCAAUGGACGAAAGUCUGACGGAGCAACGCCGCGGGAGUGAUGACGGCCUUCGGGUUGUAAAGCUCUGUUAAUCGGGACGCGGUACCGGAAUAGAAAGCCACGGCUAACUACGUGCCAGCAGCCGCGGUAAUUC